rnacentral:rRNA from 1 species
CAGAGAUGGAUUGGUGCCUUCGGGAACUGUGAGACAGGUGCUGCAUGGCUGUCGUCAGCUCGUGUUGUGAAAUGUUGGGUUAAGUCCCGCAACGAGCGCAACCCUUAUCCUUUGUUGCCAGCGGUUAGGCCGGGAACUCAAAGGAGACUGCCAGUGAUAAACUGGAGGAAGGUGGGGAUGACGUCAAGUCAUCAUGGCCCUUACGACCAGGGCUACACACGUGCUACAAUGGCGCAUACAAAGAGAAGCGACCUCGCGAGAGCAAGCGGACCUCAUAAAGUGCGUCGUAGUCCGGAUUGGAGUCUGCAACUCGACUCCAUGAAGUCGGAAUCGCUAGUAAUCGUAGAUCAGAAUGCUACGGUGAAUACGUUCCCGGGCCUUGUACACACCGCCCGUCACACCAUGGGAGUGGGUUGCAAAAGAAGUAGGUAGC